UACUUUCAAUAUAAUUAGAACAUACACAAUUAAUUAAUUAAAUAAAUCUGUUUCAGCUAGUAUAGGAACUUAAUUAAUCAAAGCUAGUAGUUAUAGCUAGGACUUGAACGAGGCACCUUUCAAAGUUCAAGAAGAGCAUCUGAACAUAAUGAAAGCACUUUCUAGAUAUGGUAAUGAUGCUUUACAUCUACAUGCUCUUACACAAUAUGAACUUUCAUUUACUCCAAGCUCUUAUUCUACAAGUCAAUUCAGUUUGUAGAUGCAAGCCAUUGUAAAAACUUUUGUAUUAUAAUUUCUGAAAAUAGAACGUAACAUUAUUAAUAUAGAAUCAGCAAUGUAUAUAACUUAUCAGACAAUAUAACAAGCACUUGGUGAGCAUACAAGAUAAACUAAAAUUUAAUAAUAUGUGGAAUUAAAGAUAAACUAAAAUUUAUGUUUAAACAUAAAUUUAAAGCAAAUCGAAUUGCAAAACAUUAGAAUGGAUGUUGGAAUUAAAGCUAAAUUCAAUAGUAAUUCAAAUGAAUCCAUUUGAACUUUGUAAAUUCCGCAGAACAAAAUUAAUUUGAGUGAGCAAACUCACCAAUGGAACAAGAACACAGGGGCUUCAACUUGUAGGAAUAAAAAAAUAUUGCUGGCGGGACAAAAAUUGACAAUAACGGCUACAAUACGAAUUAAAAAAAAAAUCAAAAUCUAUAAUUACAAGCUAAGUAAGAGAAGAAACUCAUAAUCACAAGCUUACCUCAAAAGAUGAAGGGAGAAUACGAUGAAGAAGAAGAUGCCCGGUGUUUUACGCCGUUCGCCGGCAACCAGUUAGGUUUACGAUGGUGGCUAGUCCAGCGAAUAGUUUUCUAACUGGAAAUAAAUUUAAAUUUCUAAAAUAGUACUAUACCGAACGGCUCUUCACCGUCACGUGGUUAGCAACACAUGUGACAGCAGUGUGGCCGUCACAUAAAGGGUAACAAAAGCAACUCGGGGUUACAAAGUUAGAAGUUAGUGGCAUGCGUAAUGGCUGCUUUUGCAUUCACAUUAGGGGUCACAUAUACCCUAUUUUCUUGUAGUACAUGGUAAUUUCUAUUUGAAAAUUGCUAAGUAUUUUAGAUUUGUACGAAUUCAUUUUUGUGUGCUCGUUGGAUAAUAAUAUAUAGUAAAUUAAAUUUUUGGUGUAAUUUUUACAAUAUUGUAUUAGAAAUAUGUCUCGUUGAAAGGUUUUGAAAUCGUUUUGAUUGAUCAUAAUUGAUAUUUCGACAGUUGCAAAAGAUGCCAGAGAAAAUUUGAUUAUCUUAAGAAAUGAGUGCAUGAGAUAUGAAAUCAACCAUACCAUAAAAUCAAAUUUUAUCAUGUCAUCCUUCCUGGUUCAAAUUUAUGGAAACAAUAAUCAAAUGCAUCCAUGAACUAGUAUAUUCCGACAUAUGUACCAUCAAAUUUUUGCUAUAUCAUACUUAUAUAUGUAUAUUGAAAUUUUAAUAACAACAAUUGGGCCAAGCAUAUGUUGGUACUUGAAUAUUUAUAAGCUCCAUCCUUGAAAAAAUAAGGCUUGACUGUUCUAAAUCUAAUUCUUUUUGUUUUAAGUUCUUAAUUAAGCUUUCUUGCUUGUUUUCAAGAGCCAGUUUUGUAAUGAUCCAUAAACAUGAUUUGCAUAUACAGUAUUGCACUUGGCAUAUACAGUAUUGCACUUGGCAUUUAUGUAUCACUUAUUAAUUAGAUUUAAAUUUUAUAAAUUAAUUAAGCUGAUUAAUAUUUUAUAUGUGCACUAAAUGAUAGAUACUACAUAAAUUGGGACACUAUAAGUACGUAUCCCAACUAUGUAAUAUUUGUUUGUCACAAACCCAAUCAUGACCUGAUAUUCUGAAUAUUAUUUAGGAUACCAUUUCAAGCCCCAUGAGGGCUCUUUCCAUUAAAAAAAAGUAUGAAAUAGAUGUAGAUUUUUCUUUAGAUAUUAUUAGUGAGAGUACCUUUGGUGGCAGUGGUCCGGGAUGAUUUGGGAUUUGACAAUUCUACUCUCAUCUUAAUUAUCAAAUGAAAUGUAAGUAGAGAUAAACUCGUCUUGUUUAUAUAUUUGUGAUCAAAAUUAGGACCAAUAUCUAACCACUCACAAUCAUGUCCCAUCCUAACUAUCCUGAAUGUCUCGAUUGCCUCCCUUAAUUAUCUUUUUAAUUCUCAUUAACAUAUUAGCAAAAUUUUCAUAUAUUAAAAAUAUUAGGGUCCGACCAUCUAUACUUUAAAAAUCAUUAUGAACACUCAAUUAUUUAUGCACUCAGCUAAUAAAUUUAAAAAAUUAAGUUUUACUUUCUACGCUUUUUUUUAGGAGUACUUUCUACACUUUUUAAAAUAACAAAAACAUCUUUACAUGAACCUAAUAAGCUUAUUUAAAAAAAUUAAAUCAACUAUUUUUAUUUAUUCAAAAUACUAAUAAAAAUAUUUAGCAAACCGUGAAAGAAAUUUUUUAAGAAAUUUAACACGAUUUUAGUUAUUACUUAUUGUUUAUUAAAGAAUGUGUUCACUAUUGUUUUUAAUUUUGUUAGUAAAAAAAAAAGAAGAAGAAGAAGUUUGGGUUUAAGAUACAUUUAAUUUUUAGUGUAACAGUUGUAAUAUAUAGCUUUAUUUACCCAAGUGGGCAAUACAUUUAAUUUUUAGUGUAACAAUUUUAUUCAUACGAUGCUUUUAAAACUAAAAGUACUUUUAAAAAUAAAUUUUACUAAAUGUUCAGCUGAUUCUCUUGACAAUUGAUCAAUUUCUACAGCAUAGCUAAUUGUAAUUAUUUUAAAAGCUACAGGAUUACCAAAUUGACCCUAAAUCAAACCAAUAAAAAUGUUUAAAAGUAAUAAUUAUAAACCAAAGUAAACGUACAAAAAUUCAUGCAUAAAUUGAUAAUCAACAAAAACAUCCACAAGUUUAACUCCAAGUUUUCUAUUCAAUUGACAUAACCCUUAAAUUUCAAAAGGCAUAAUCAAUUUUGUGUCUAAUCCUAUAAAAUUAGAAAAUUAAAGAAUAUUAUAUACUGAUAAUUAAAUAAUAUGCAAUUAAUAACGUUAAAAAAUAAUGUUAAACAUAUUGUCAACUAAAAUAAUUGGGAGAAUUGGAGUUCCAAGAUAAAUUCUUAUCUAGUCCCAAAUCAGCAAUUGGGAUUAACGAGCUACUAUUGAAAUUAAUGUUAACAACAAAAAUAGAUGCAAAAGGAGAAACAAGCAUCGUGUACAGUACCCACUGUGAACUGCUCACAUUGGAAUAAGUUGUUGGCAGCUGGUCAAAAAUUCAAUGUUGAUUUUGAUCCCACUAAAUUAAGUCAUCAAAAAUUACUUUCCGUACAAUGAUGAUUGGGCUGCAUAUAUCAUUUAUUAUUAACUAACUUAUGAAAUGCUUUAAAUGUACCUCCUAGGUCGUAUUAUUUACUAUACUAGUUAGGAUAAAUUGCAAUGUUAAAUUAUUUGAUAAAUACUUAUUAUAAUUUAAUAAAUAUGUUAAUUUUGUCCUCCACUUUAUGAUAAAAAAAUUUAUAAUAUAUAUAAAUCAUUUAUUCUAUAAUCUUAAACUUUAUUAAAGUUCGAAAAACUAUUACUCUAUAUGAUAUAAUAGUGUGAUGUAAUUACACUAUUAUACCAUAUAAAAUAUAUUUGCUUUCUUAAAUUUUAAUAAAGUCUAGGUCUUGGACAGAAACACUUUAUAUAUGUAUGUAUAAUGAUUCUCUAGCAACGACAUUCUCAUUUUAACAAAGUAAUAAUAUCACUAACAAACUAAAUAACACAUAUUUCAAUACACCAAUAAAUAAAAAAAUAAUUUUUAAUGUGUUAAAAUAUGUCUUUUGUAUAUUAUUGAUAUUUUCACUUUAACAUAGUGAGGAUCUCCUCACUAUAGAAGUACUUUAUAAAUAUUCUUUGUAUUUUAGUUCUAAGCUCUGUUUCGUGUAUCAUCGACACAAUGAGGCAUAGCAUCUAAAAGUCGGCAGCCAUGCAACUUCUUGGAAUCUUCAUGCAAGUGUUGGAUAUCGACUGUUCGAUAACGAUGGCAGCAUUGGACUGGACUGUAAUUGACGCAGAUAUUGUCAGAUAUUUCAUUGAUUAAGGAUCACAAAUAAUGGCUAUUGGAUGAGGAUCACAUGUUUUAUGACAGUGGUAAUGGCAUGCUACUAAUGUAAGUCAAGCAUUACUUUUAAAUAAUGAUAUUAUAAUUAAAAAUCUAAAAAUAUUUAUAAUACCUAAAGACUAAUUCAGAUUAUUAAUUUGUUUAUAUGACUUAAUUAUUAGCUGACAAAUAAUUAAAAAGUCAUGGAACAAUAUUUAAUUGACGCAGUGGAAUAAGGAUCACAAAUAAUGGAUAUUGGAUGAGGAUCACAUUGGAGUGUUGUGAUACAACACAUAUUCACAAAAGCGUUGUUGAUGAAGUCUAGUACUCUAAUGCUACUUUAUUAUGUGGGGGCAGAGCAGUAAAUUUCAAAGCGAAAUUAUAGAUGUGUUUUAUAAUGGGAUUCAUAAGAUUUUAUUUUUAAAAAAUUAGUAAGGUUUAUUGAGAGUCUCACUAUAGCACAUGAGAAAAUAUCAUUAGAGAAGUUCAUCAUGACCUAUCUCGUGUAAAUUUCUCUUCUAGCAAUUGUGAAUUUGAGUUUAGUUUUAGGGCUCAUUUAAACUAUGGUACCAUAGUGGUGCCAUAUUAUAAUUGGGUCUAACCAUUGACAACUCUGAUGACUACCGUAGAGUGGAUUCAAUGGUACCACUUUAUCAGGUAUUAUUAAUUUUUAUUUCAAAAAUUGAAACUUUCAGUUUAUUACAACUGACAGCUGACCCCACACAUUUCGAUGAUUAUAAUUUAGGCCAAAACUACAUUGCGUCGGGGGUUUGGUACCCCACUCCUUUGUCUGUUAGCAAGGUCAGCGUUGGAUUUGAUCUGACGGCUGCAGAAGGGACACAAAUAUAAAGAGGAGUAACCUGAGGUAAAGGUAAUAAGCCGGUCACCUGCAGAAAAUAAGUGUAUGAUAAAAUAACACAUGCAAUAAAUUUUGUUUGUUUUUUUUUUUUUUUUUUGAGAAGACACAUGUAAUGAACUUGCUGGAAGCGUAUAUGCAAGUAAUGGUUGGAAACAACUUGCUGGAACCGUGCAAGUAUUGGUUGGGCUAAGACUGACAUGAAAUUUCCCCAAUAGUGUCCAAAACAUUUGCAAAUAGUUAAUUCAAAGCGUAAAUAAAUGCUGGAAAAAAUACGUAUUUUUUAUUUUAUUAUUAAGAAUACAUCUUUUGAUAAAAAAAGAUAAAUGAUUAAUGGUACAUAUUAGUAACAAAUAUACUAAAAAAAUUAUCCAUAUAUUUGAAAAAAAAUUGUUAACAAUACAUAUUUUUUAGAAGUACACAUAUUAUACCAUACAAAAAUUGAGUUGUAUCAUGGACAGCCAUAAACUAUGAACAAAGAUUACGAUCGAAACUCCACAUGCAUAUUUAAUUUGUACAUUUUUUUCAGAAUGCGUUUCCCACCAUGGGAAUAACCAAGGUUCUUCAGGCAAAACACUACGGUAAUUCAUUAUCAUAGACAGGAAAAAGACAAUGGCAAAGAUCAAUAAUUUAACACAUAAGAAUGAGUGAAUGACAACAUCAAGUGAGAACCAUGCACAAUCCUUUUUAUUAGAGAUCCUUUCUUAAAUCUUAAAUAAGAACAUUAAAUAAGCUUGAAAAAUAUUGGUAACUGACCCAAUACACAUCCAUCUAACGGAAAACAGCGGACAAUUUGAUGCAUGUGUGGAGCACUUGAGGAAACAGAGCAUCCACAGAAUGCCUAAAUUUGAAAAAAAAAAAAGAAAAUAUUUGCAUUUGACGAAAAGGACUUUGAGCGUUCAAAUACAAAGUGUCAAUUAACCUUACAAGAUACAUCAACCAUCAGAUAUGCUCAACAUGCAAUACCAAAUUAAAUUACCUAUCUCCAGGGUUGGAUUUGUCUUCAAUCAGAUGAAUGUUGGAGAGAAUAUAAUUGAAAGAAUGGCAUCAUCUACCAUGCAAGGUAAGGCUCCUUACAGGUGCUCAAUAUGACACCACAAAAGAAAAUACAAUAUCAUAGACACAUCACCAACAUAUAUGCAAACAACCAAUUCUCACAGCAUGUAGUGCAACAACUCACAAAAUAUGAAAUUUAACAUCAUCUAAGCAUUUUUCUCAUUAAAGAACCUAACUGAAAGUAGUAAACAUAGAGACAUAUAACAGCUUUAUAAGUACAGACCACAAAGUAGAACUUUGUUCGAAUGAUAACGAUCAUAAUCCACAUUAUAAACGCAGUGAAAUCAUCAAAUGAAAAUAAGAACACAGUACAUAAUUACACAGAUAUUAGGCUUAAUUAAUUAUUUAGAUUAAAACACCACUUCACACAGCUUCCUUAGCUGGAAUCUUCUCAUAUCUCAUCUUCUUAGGGCUCAAAUCAUCAUCAUGAUCAUCAACAUCAGUGAAUUCCUCAUACGAAUUGCGAGAAUCGUGACGAUUAGCAAAAAGGCUCCACACCAAAUACAUGGUAAUGUCAGUAAGCGAACUGCACCCAACGCCGAAAAGAAAAGCGACUGGUUUGGUCGCAUAGAGAGGAGAAGUCGUGCUCGAAGGGCAAAAUGCGACGUUUUGGCUCGUGGAUGAGGUGCUGCUCCCAAUCAUCGAUUGAAGGGAGAAUCAGACAGUCGAGGAAGAUUAAGGGACGAUGGGGGCUGAAUUGGCAAAUUUCGGUGAAGAUUGUGACAAAUCUAAUGGGGUUUUCGGAGUUAGAGUUAGGGCAGCGGGAAUUGAAAUGGAUCAAUUAAGAGGAAAUGAAGAGGGUUUUGCAUGGCCUUUUGGAGGCUGAAAUUGAGAGGACACCAUGAAUAUUGUGAGAGCUAGGAGGAGACGCUGAGUCGAUGACGCCAUUGAUUCGUACCACACAGCUUCGAUUGGAAAUGGAGCCUCUAAUUGCUUUAGCCGGUUACCCAUUUUUCAAGUGUUAAAUCUCAGCCGUUGACUACCUUUCUUUACGAUCUAAAGGGUCAUUCGCAAAAGGACAAGCGACUGGGGUACCAAACCCCUGAUGCAAUGUAGCUGGAUCCUAUCUUUCAUUCACAAUAUGCCAGCAAAUGUUAAUUACGAAUAAUUUAUGUCCUUCACCCCUGACAUUGAUAUUAGCAAUUUUCAGUUAAAAGUUAAAUCAUCCCAGCAUUAGCAUUUUUUCUUAAUUAGAGUUGAAUAAUUAUGCCCAAUUGUAUAACAUCAUUUUAAUUAAUAGAUUAGAAACGUGAUUCACGUUUGACAAUAAUUUUCUCUUUUGCUGUUUUGUCGUUAUAGUUUACUGAGACGAGAAGAAAUAAUUGCUCGUUUGGAUACUCUCUGUAUUCACAUUUGACAAAAUAAAUAAAUAAUUUCUUUUUACUGUUUUGUUCCUUUUACUGUAUGAUAUUGAACAAAAUAAUUUUUUUCAGAUCGCUCAAUAGAAUUGCUUCAAAUCAGUUUUACCAGUUAUAAUUCAUCAGCUCCUACUCUUUGCGUUCAAUUCUCAGUCAAGAAAACCUCUCCUGAUUUUCGUCUUUUGAUCUCAUACACACUCUGCUUCUGUUCAUCGUGGUCGCUGCUCGUGCUAGCCGUUUUCUUAUUUAGCUUUGCUCCCUUCUGCCAUCACCUCUCUGUAUACUCAUUGGAUCAAGAAACCCUUUUCUUGUUUCAAUUUUCUGAUCUCAACAACACUUUGAUUCUCAUCCAUUACACUGAUUUUUUUCCUUAUUUUGCUCAAAUACAAUUUCUCUUCCUAAUUUAGUCCCGUUCCCUUUCACCGUCAUCUGUUUUUUCUUCGGCUUCUUCAUUGAUUAACAAUUGUCCAGUCGUUUCCCCUGUUCUUUUUCUGUUUCUUUCACUUCAGAUCAAUCCAUCCUCCCACAACACACCCCCCCCCCACAAAAAAAAGAAAAGAAAAAGUAUUGAAGGUGAUGGAAUCCAUUGUUACUGUCGUUUUAGAGGUUGUAAAAUGCUUGGCUCCUCCAGCACAACACCAACUUCGUUACUUGCGUAGCUCCAAUGACAACUUUGAGAAUCUGAAGGCUGAAACCGAGAAGCUCAAGGAUAAAAGUAGGAGCAUUCAACGCAGAGUUUCAGAGGAUGAAAGAAAAGGAGAAAAGAUUGAAGAGGAGGUUGAGAAAUGGCUGGUUAAUGCGAACAAGAUCAUUGACCAUGCAGACAAAUUCAUUCACGACGAGGAGGCAACAAAUAAGCGAUGUCUCAAGGGUCUAUGCCCUAAUCUGAAGACCCGCUAUCAGCUUAGCAAGAAAGCAGAGGCAGAGGUGAAGGCACUUGGCAAAAUCCGAGAAGAAGCUGCAAGAUUUGAUGAUAGAAUUUCCUACAGUACCAUUCCGGAGGAGAUAUGGCUCAAGUCUCACAAAGGCUACGAGGCCUUCGAGUCAAGACUUUCUUCUUUGAAGGCCAUACAAAAUGCAUUGAACGAUGUUAAUGUUAGUGUCGUUGGGGUGUACGGCAUGGGCGGCAUUGGAAAGACGACACUGGUGAAGAAGGUCGCCAGGCAAGCUAUGGAAGACAAGCUCUUUGAUAUGGUGGUCUUUUCAGAGGUUUCGCAAACUCCAGACAUAAAAAAGAUUCAACAGGAAAUUGCCGAGAAGUUGGGCCUGGAGUUGCACGAGGAAGUUGAAUCUAGAAGAGCAAGUAGACUAUUUGAGCGAUUGAGAAAUCACAAGAAGAUCCUUGUGGUUUUAGAUAACAUUUGGAAACACCUUGAUUUGGAGACAGUUGGAAUUCCUUUUGGAGAAGAUCAUAAAGGCUGCAAACUACUGCUGACGGCAAGAGAUCGUAGUGUCCUCUUAAAAAUGGGUUCUAAAGACAACUUUUUGAUAAACAAUUUAAAUGAAGAAGAAGCCUGGAGAUUGUUUAAGAUGAUGGCCGGUGAUGAUGUUGAAAAUCGUGAGUUGAAAUCUACAGCAAUAGACGUCGCCAGGGCAUGUGGAGGUUUGCCCAUUGCCUUGACCACAGUAGCAAAGGCACUGAGAAGCAAGAGUCUGCAUGAAUGGAAGAAUUCCUUGCGAGAACUCCGAACGCCUUCAAUGGUGAACUUCGAAGGAGUAUCUGCAGAGACUUAUUCAAGUAUUGAGCUGAGUUUCAACCAUUUAAAAGGUGAGCAACUCAAGAAAAUUUUUCUCCUCUGUAGUCUAAUGGAGGGCCAUAUUACUUUGGACUUGUUUAAGUACUCCAUGGGUUUGGGUAUAUUUAAAGGAGUCAAUAAGAUGGAAGAUGCACGAGACAAAUUAUAUGCAUCGGUCCAUGAACUUAGAGACUCUUGUUUGUUGCUUGAGGGUGACAGCAAUGAAGAAUUUUCAAUGCAUGAUGUCGUUCGCGAUGUCGCAAUAUCAAUUGCAUGCCGCCACCAACAUGUGUUUUCGGUGAGAAAUGAUGAGGAUGUGUGGGACUGGCCAGAUGAGGAUGCACUUCGAAAAUGCAAUGCUAUCUCUUUAAUAAAUAAUAGUAAUCGUGAAUUUCCUGAAGGAUUAGAAUGCCCAAACCUUGAAUUUUUAGGUGUCUUUCUCAAAGAUUUUUCUCUUGAAAUCAAUAUUCCUGAGAACUUUUUUGUAGGGAUGAAAAAGCUUAGAGUUCUAGAUUUUACUCGAAUGCAGUUUUCUUCUUUUCCAUUUUCAAUUGAUCUUCUAGUAAAUCUUCACACACUAUGUCUGAAUCAAAGUGCGUUGGGCGACAUAGCAAUCAUUGGGAAGUUGAAGAGUCUAGAAGUCCUUAGCUUUGUGAGGUCUGAUAUUAAGAAGUUGCCCGAAGAGCUAGGUCAACUGUCUAAGCUAAGGCUGUUAGAUUUAACAGACUGUUUCCUUCUGAAAGUUAUUGCCCCAAAUGUCAUAUCAAGCUUAAUCCGAUUAGAAGAGCUGUAUAUGGGUAAUUGCUGCAUUGAAUGGGAGGUUGAAAGAGACAACAGGGAAAGAAGUAAUGCUAGCCUUGACGAAUUGAUGCAUUUACCUCGGCUAACCACUCUAGAAAUUGACGUUAAAAAUGACAGUAUUUUACCAGAAGGUUUUUUGGCCAGAAAGCUCGAAAGGUUCAAAAUAUCCAUUGGAAAUGAGUCAUUCAUGCCUCCCAAGAGUAUUACAAGAGAAUGGUUUCAAAGCCGGCCGCACUUUUUGAUCAACAGUAAUCGUGAGAGUUUAAGAGAAUUGAAGCUCAAGCUUGAUUUUAUGGACAUUUGCUCCAUGAAAUUGCAGGGCAUCAAUAACGUUGAAUACCUAUGGUUUGACAAGCUGCAAGGUGUCAAGAAUGUUCUUUUUGAUUUGGACACAGAAGGCUUUUCACAAUUGAAGCAUCUCCAUGUUCAAAAUAAUCCUAACUUCCUGUGUAUCGUGGACUCAAUGGAGAUGGUAGCUUGUGAAGCCUUUCCUCUUUUGGAGUCACUUAUCCUUCACAAUUUGAUCAACAUGGAGAGGAUAUGUAUUGAUCAGCUCAAAGUAGAGUCUUUCAACGAACUCAAAAUCAUAGAAGCAUAUAAUUGUGAUAAAUUGAGUAAUAUCUUUUGGCUCUCUACUACAAAAUGCCUUCCAAGACUUGAGAGAAUUGCAGUUAUUAAUUGCAGCAAGAUGAAAGAGAUUUUUGCAAUUGGGGAAGAAGUUGAUAAUGCAAUUGAGAAGAUAGAGUUUGCUCAAUUAAGAUCUUUGAGUCUGGGGAAUCUUCCAGAGGUUACAAGUUUUUGCCGCGAGGUGGAGACUCCUUCAGCAUCACCAAACAGACAAGUGUCGCAAGAGGAAUCGACGACUAUGUAUAGCUCCAGCGAAAUCACUUUGGAUAUUUCAACUCUGCUUUUCAACGAGAAGGUGCGUAGGCUAACAGAUUUUAUUCUAUCAUGCGUUCUGUUUUGAUGUCAUACGUGGAAAAUAAUUAAAUCAUUUAAAGAAUUGAAAGAAAAUGGAAAAAAGGAUAAAAAGAAUCUCACGCGCUCACUAAUUGAGCUCUUAACAAGUAGUAUGAAUUAGAAUGCAUACUCAGCUGUCAGUUGGAAAUUGAUUCUGACUUGCAUUAAUUUGUAAUCAAAGAAGAAAAUUUCAACAAGUGCUUCCCAUAUGGAUAUUGGAUCUAAUAAGAAAUUCUUAUUUUUUUAGGUUGCGUUGCCUAACUUGGAGGCUCUGGAGAUAUCUGAAAUUAAUGUCGACAAGAUUUGGCACUACAAUCAAAUUCCGGCGGCCGUGUUUCCUCGCUUUCAAAAUUUAACACGAUUGAUCGCGUGGCGUUGUCACAAAUUAAAAUACAUAUUUUCAGCGUCUAUGAUCGGAAGCCUUAAGCAGCUCCAACACCUAGAAGUAUGGUUCUGUGAGAAUUUACAGGAGAUCAUUUCUGAAAACAGAGCAGAUCAAGUGAUCCCUUAUUUUGUCUUUCCACAGCUCACCACUCUGAUACUCCAAAAUCUACCAAAACUUAGAUGUUUGUACCCUGGAAAGCAUACUUCGGUAUGGCCCGCGCUAGAAAUUCUUGUAGUGUAUCGUUGUGACAAAUUAAAGAUAUUCGCUGCAGAUUUAUCGCAGAAUAAUGAGAAUGAUCAACUUGGUAUUCCUGCACAACAGCUCCCAUUGCCAUUGGAAAAGGUAUGAAGCCAUUUUCUAGAUUUUUUAUCAAUAGCUUAUUUUUAACUUUGAAAAAUAUGACAAAGCAUCGAUAAAUUAAUACUCAAUAAAUUGAAAACUUUUAUUAUACAAUAAUCUUUGCUAGUCUAGACUAAGGGAUCAAUGUGAUAGAUUAAUAAUUAUAUGAACUGUUUUAGGUAUAGCAUUUAUAAAAGAAUCCUUAGUCUUUCCAUAUAGAAGAACUUACAAAAUAAAUUAGUAAUUUAUUAUUGUGCAAUAAAAUAAUUUCGAGCCAGUAUAAAUCAACCUUUUUUCCCUAAUUUCUUUUUUACCUCUAAAAUUAACAUAUAAAAUAAAUUUUAUCACUAAUUCAUUUUUUUUAAAAAUAUAAUAUAAAACAAAUACUAUAAAGUCACUGCAUGUGACCGUAGAUCAUCAAUUGACCUCAUUAGUUAUUAUGAUUGAUGAUGAUCAGAUCGUACCCAACUUGAAGGAACUAUCACUAAGUGGAAAAGAUGUGAAGAUGAUUUUGCAGGCCGAUUUCCCACAACACCUUUUUGGCAGUCUUAAACAACUAGAGAUUAUUGGAGAUGACUCAGCUUGUUUUCCAAUCUGGAACGUACUGGAGAGAUUUCACAAUAUCGAAAUACUCACUCUGUUUAAUUUUUCAUCCCACGAAGAGCUAUUUUCGAUGGAAGGAUGCUUAGAGAAACAUGUGGGGAAGUUGGCAAUGAUAAAAGCAUUAGAGCUGCGCUGGCACUAUCAUCUGAAGCAGCUGUGCAAACAAGACUCCAAACUUGGCCCCAUUUUUCAGUAUCUUGAAAUUCUAGGAGUACAUCAUUGUCAAAGUCUGUUAAUUCUAUUGCCAUCAUCAUCGGUAUCUUUUCGGAACCUAACAAAACUUUUAGCUUUCGGUUGCAAGGGAUUGAUGCACUUGGUAACAUCCUCCACAGCAAAAACUCUAGUGCGACUCGUCAAAGUGAGUAUAUAUGGAUGCAGAGCAAUGACAGAGGUGGUAAUAAAUGACAAAGACGGGGUUGAAAAAGAAGAGAUUGUUUUCCGCAAAUUGAAGAGGUUGGAACUGCGUGAUUUAGACAGCCUCACAAGUUUCUGCUCUGCCAAUUACACCUUUGAAUUCCCAUCUUUGCAAGAGUUGUGUGUGAUUGGUUGUCCCAAGAUGAAUUUUUUCACUACAGGAGAAUCAAUCACGCCUCCAAGAGUAAACGUCUGGUAUGGAGAAACAUCGAAUCAACGGCGUUGGGCUAGUAAUGAUCUUAACACGACCAUACAACAAUUACAUGCUGAGAAGGUACGGAUAUACAUGUUACUCUCUAUCUCCCAUGGAAAAAUUUUACAAAAUUUGCUUUUUCUUUUUAAAUAAAAUAUCGAUAAGAUAUUUGUUAUAAAGUUAGUUUAAAUUGAUGAAUAAGAAUUUUAUUUUCAGCUGUUGGCGGGGUCGUCGUCAUACUCUGUGGAUUACGACUAAUUUCAUUGGCUUCUUAUGACUCGGAGUUACGAAUUUGAAGAAGAAAGUCCCAGCUGGUAAUUAAUUCUUAUUUUAUUUAUUUGAUCUCGUGGGUUGUUUCACAAUUUCAUCUCAAUUGUUUAGAAUGGGUCACUUGGUUUACUGUCAAUAUGGAAUGCACUUUUCAUGAUUCGUUCAGGCUUUUAUGGGCAGAUUUUGCGUCAUUGAGCGUCUUUUGGUCUAAUUUAAUUUAAUUUGAGUAUUUUGUUUUGAGAGAGUUCCCUUGUUCUCUAAAAUUUUAUAAUUCCUUGCAAGCAUUUUAUGAUGAAAUUUCAAUAAGAGGGGCAACACUUGCAUGUUGAAAGUGUUCAGAUUUUAUAAUUCCUUGAAAUCAUGCAAACUUUUUUCUUUCUUUCCUUGCCAAUUAUUUAUUGUCAUCGUUACUGUUCCGUUAAAUUUGUUUGUGCUCUGUUUGUUCAUUGGAAACUUGGAAGGCAACGAAAGUACUUAAGAAAAUGCUCUUGCGUAUUAACACAUAAUUAAGAACAGCUGAAUAUCAUUCAUCGGAUAAAAAAAAAAAAAAUCUAAUUAGCCCGUCAUGCCUACAACAAAUGCUUAAACCAUCAAAGGUUAGCUAUGAACAACUAUAUUAUGGAAAUAUUGUUUGAAAGCAUUGGAUAGAAUUUUCAAAAAUAUCAAGUUUUCACAAACCAAAAAGGGAACUAAUUUGGUCUAGUUUUGUGACAAGUAUAGAAGCACAAUAUUUUGUCUGUUAUUCUUGUUAAAAUUCUCAGCACUGUGUUUGCAGAAUGUCUGGAUACUGAUGGAGAUUCAAGUCACUCUUCUUCUGUGCAACAUUCGAAAUGAAGACUUUUUUUCCCCCUCUAUUCAAAUUUUAUGUUGUGAAGGGUUUCCGUUUCCAUCUUCAUGUGAUUUACUUCACCGUGUCGCUACAUCUAUGAUAGUGUGUGUUAUAUCCUGUCUGUUUCCUUUGUUUGACCAUCGAAAGUUUAAAGACAAUUUAUUCUAAAUAUGUGUAAAUUCAUUUUCUGUAUAAGCUCUUUGUAUGCAUUUUGACAUUUUAUUCUCAAUAUGGAUGACUCAAUGAGAGGUCUUUUGUUAUAUAUAUGUCCCGAAUUUCUUGUGUAUUUUUAGAUUUGAUGAUGUAUUAUUGUCUCAUUGCAAGGUCUUAUAAUCACUGAUUCUCAUUUCUCGUAUACAUACGUAUAUAUGCGCAAGAAAUUUGAUAAAUGAUCUUGUCAUUUUCUCAGUAAAACAUCUAGUACUUUAUAUGUUGGAAGGGUACUAAGCAGCAGGCCAAGAUUUGUCAACUCAAAGAUCGUCAUGUCAUUUUUUAAAAAUAUUAAGGAAUUCUAAGGAACCUCAAGAGAAAAUUUAGAAAUACUAUAGGGACUACUUCUGCAUUGUUCAUUUUCGUAAUUACGUUCAUUAUUAUUUUUGUUUUCAAUUAAUCAAACUUCAGUUCCUUAGCAUUCAUCUAAUUAUGUACUUCAUCUGGAAAUCCUUAAUUUAAUUUAUCAUCACAUAUGAUCAGCACUAAACUAUCAAAUAAUCAUAAAAGCAUAUAAAUUCAAGCUACUGUAUUAUUUGUAGCUUUCUAAUUUUUGUUUAUAAAGAAUUCAACAAAAAAGGGGAUACGAAAGUAGCAAAACUUCAUCAAAUACUCUGUUUUGUAGUACUUCAACAUAUCUACUGGCUAAGAAGUAGCAUCACAUAUGAAAAUGUCGGCACAAAUACUCAAGCAAGUGCAAGUGUAUAAAAUAAUAUAAAGCUGUCGAUUCUGCAUUAAAGCAUAUGAAUUGUGAAGAUAUGAAUACCAAAUCUUUCCAACUCCUCAACUCUUGAGUAAUUACUAGGUUCCCACCCAUGCAAACAUAUUUUCUUUCGAGAAAAAGGGAUGCCUGAUUCAGGGCAUCCGUUGCCUCGGUUUAUUUGAUUUUGUUUGGUUCAAUUGUGGUUCUGUUAUUUAGUUUUUCCUCUGAUGGUUCUGUUUCUCUGUAUAUUUCACUGGGUUUGCUUUGCUUCACAUCUUUCUUUCAAAACUAAGAAGGCAGGAAAGAGAGUCCGUAAUUAGAAAAUGCAAGUACAUAUCAAAUCAUGCAUAUGCUCAUGCUCUUGCCUAUGAACACAUAAAGAACAACUGAAUAUCCUUCAUCGGAUAACAAAAAAACAAAAUCUAAUCAUCCAUUAUCCAUACAAGAAAUGAUACCAUUACUUUUAACAAAUUGAAGGUGUUAUAUCUUUUUUAUUUAAAAAGUCUUAAGAUUUUUAUUUUUCCGGUUAUUACACCUCCAAAGUUCCACAGCUAUUAAUGUCAAAUUGUAAUUAUUUGUCCCAAGAUGAAGAUUUUCACUGGAGGAGAAUUAAUAAUUACGCUAUUUCGGCCCAGAGGACCACGAAGCCCCUUGGGUUGUUGACAUUAACACUAUUACGCUAGUGCGUUUACCAACCCAAACCUUCUGUUUGGUCAACAGUGUCUAAAUUGAACCUAUUGUGAAUGGAGGAAAAAGAAAAAAAGGAUUUAUCAGAAACCUGCCGGUUUGGCGUAUUCUCAGUUUGAUAGAUUGUAUUUGUGUAUUUUUAAAUACCUCCCCUGGUGCUAGUAUAUCUUUCCUUGAUACCCCUAAUUUAGAAAAAAUAAUAAUUUGUAUACUGAAAAUAAAAUAUUGUUGGUUAGUACCAGCAUAUUUGUCUUAAAAAAAUAAUUUGUAUACUAAAAAUAAAAAAUUGUUGGUUAGUACCAACACGCUUGUUUUGGUGCCAAGGGAUGUGAAUACAAUGAAAAUAUCAAAUCACCCCUGCUACUUUCCAAAAUGACUUUGAUGAAUGAAACAAACAAAAGAUUUAAGUCAAAUAUCAGAGAACCAAAAGGAAGUUGUUUUGCACUAGCCUAAUUGCUAUGUUUUCUGCAUCAAAUUUUGUUCAAUCUUGGUGAAGAUCUUAGUGUCCCUCUUUUAUUCAAUAUAAGAAGAGUGAAAAAAAAAGUUGUUUGUUUUUUACACAAGUGAUAGAAAUACUUUUCAACUUUAGACACUGUAACACUAUACACAUCAAAGAAAUAAGAUAAUGAACCAUUUCCCAUACAUGAAGCCAACAAAAUUAGUAUUUAGUACAGGAGAUGCAACCGAAUUUUAAAUUUUAUUCCUCAAGGGCUACAAGUGAUACAAAUGAGUACACAAAUCAACCAUCUCUAGCUUAACAAAAGAUGAUGCGAAUGCAUAAACAUGCAAAAAGUCUACGAAUAGUAUACAUGGUAACUAUGACCAAGUAAAAUAACAAUUCUGAUUGAUAAUACCACCAGCAACAGGACCUUCAUACCUUCUCUUUAUUAAUCACUAGUUGGUAUGCUAUAGCUCAGCCAAGUGUCAAAUGAACGGCGAUCAAACUCUCAAGCCUCUGUAUACCCUCCAUAAGUUAUCUCCAACUACAUCAAGGACUGCAAUUAUUUUAAGCAAUAGAAAAAUAAUCGUGAUACAAUGAGUAACAUAUAGAGCAUGCACCUGCUUUAUACAUAUCCAAGAGACUGAAUAUAGGUACAUGGAGCUUGAUUUGCAGAAUGAUCUAUCAAGAAAGCCUCAAUGCAAAAUCUUCAUCCCUAUUCCAAACAAAACUGGGCAUAUCGGUCCUCCGCCCAGCGACAAUCCUAUAUAUGUAAAGCUUCUCAACAAGGAGCUCCGGCCUUGAAUCUGGGGGUCCCUUCUCUUCAAUAACUUGAACAUUCAGCGUGAUUAUCCAAAGACACUACAAUUUUCAUUUAUAACUCAAACAAGUAAGACGGGACUUAUCAAAAGACACUGCAAUUUUGGACAUUGGCUAACAAGCUUGAUUAGGUCAAGACUUUGUAUAGUGGCAUAGCUCAGAUUCAAGGUUGUUAGGCCAGAGUAAACGGAAUUGACAGAUCACACUAUUUGAGACCAUAAUCAGGUUGCAUCUACGACUAAUUUUCCAAAAUUAUACCAAUCUCUAAUCCAGUACAUUGCUAAUCAAUAUUCCUGAUUAAUACGAGCAGCAAUGACUAUAUAAAAAAUUAUCUCCAGCCAACCAGGUAUGUCAGAAGCCAAAUCUAUAGUAAAGAAGGUUUGGUAGAUCUCUUAAAAAAUAAUCUCAUCUUUAAUUUAAUAAAAACUAGCAUGAAUCCAUGUUCAAUAAUCAGAAUCAGUACCUUAAACAAAUAAAAAAAUUUCACAGCCAUUUUCAAUCAGUCACACGGCAACAUAACAAACAACAAGUCAUUUUCAAUCAAUCACAAGCGAACAUGCAUUUGCAACAAUCAUUCACCUACAACUAACAUUAAUCGAUGGAAAAAAAUUAAAGCAACAGAAUUUAUUCUUUUUUUUUUUAAUCAAAUCUCCUUACAAAACUGACAUGCCCGGAAAUAAUCUUAUUCAUACCUCAUUCGCGGCUCGAAAACACUGGGAUUGUUUGUGGGUCGACGGCGAAAGUCACUGGUCGGUAUUCUUCCACAUCGCUGGCGUGAAUCAGUCGUCUCUGGUAUUGCCGUCUUGGGAUUCAGUGUCAUGGUCUCCCUUUCGUAAGCAAGUUUUUUAAUCAAAGCAUUAGAGAGAAGAUGAAAGGGAUGUUGCGUUUCAUGGCUUCAAGUCGAAUGGAGGAAAGAGAUGACCAUUUUUCCUUUUCUUUUUUUGUGGGCGUUAAUGUGUGCUGGGUAAAUCUUCUGUUUUUUACCCAAUGGACAUUUACAAAGUUGAGACCAAUUUCAGAACACAUCUUAAAAAUUGGGUAAUUUGUAAGGACCUCCCCUAAGGUUUUGUGUAUUAACAGUCUCAUGGAAAGUAUUCACGUAAUUACAGGGAGCCCUUUGACGUUAGUAUACCAUUUCGUAUAUUAUUAGUAUAUGAGGGUAAAUUAGUGGUUUCAUAAAUAAAAAUAAAAAAAAAAUCCAAAGUUGCAUCGAUGACCCAGAUUUAGGCACUGAUAAUCAAUUUAUUGCCCACAAUGCAAAUUAUCUUCAAUUUAUCUAAGAUGAAUGAAAACUCCAUUUUCUCUCUCAUUAAAUGGAACAGCCAUUUUCAAGCUUGAAAAGCUCUGAAGAAACUUUUGUAACUAUAAAAUCCCAGCUGCCUUCAAGUAAUUUUAAGCUGAGUAUGAACAUGACAAGCUGCAAUGGUGGCAAAAGGGUGUCGCCAAGCGAAUUUCGUCGGCGGCUACCGUCUAAGAUUACUAGAAUUGGAACCUAAAAAAGGUUAUUCCCAAAAAAAAAAAAAAAAACUUGCAUGUUGGACUCAAUGUUUUUUUUUUCUUUUUAUUGUUGUGAUGAUGAAGAAUGAUAAAAAUGUGUUGAAGAAGAUGCCAAAUCAGUUAAAUUGAACAAAAAAGAAAUUGGGUUUUUUUUUCUAUUUUAGUUGAUUUCAAACUUAAAUGAAUUGAAAUCUUUGAUUUAUUAACUUGUUAUUUUAGAUUCAAAAGGUUGGUUUGGUGGUGUUGUGGUCUGGGGAUGAUAAUUGAUUUUUGUUUGUCAUGAAAUUGACAUGGCAGGUACCAUUACCCAUUGAUCCAGGCUUUUACUGUGGCAGUAGCAUUCGUUCUUAUGCUCUGGUCUGCCUUCUUCAUAUGGCUUGUGGCCUGAAAAAAGAAGACUCGUUUCUUUUCUUCCUUGGCUUCAAUUGAAACGACUAAGGAAUAUUUUUCUAAUUCCAACAUCUGAAUAUUAUAAAUUCCUAACUUUACAAUUACUUUCAUAAUGAAUGAACCAUUGUUCAUUUACUAUCAUUGAAUUUGAAGCUAACACUGCCAGAAAGUAAAGCAAGCAUCAUGAUUCAUAAAUCACUCAUUAUCUUUCUAAUAGCUAUGGGGAAGGAGUAUCUUAGCCAUGUCAAUUCAAUUUCCUGUUUGUUCUUAUAUUUCAUUAGCAGGUGUGCGUAUGUGAUUCUAUCGUGCGGGUUGUGUAUUUUGAAUGCUUUGAAGAGUGAAUCAUGGUUUAUUGUCUUAUUGAAGUAGUUUACUAAUGGUGAUAUUUUAAUUUGACGACGGCUGUAUUUAUAGCCACUGCUGCUGUAAAUAUUCUAUACGUUGACAAUUUUGUUGAUUUUCUUAAUUUAUAUUUUACUUUUUUUUUAUAUAUUAUGUAAAUGUCAAUGAUUUGUUUUCCAUGAUUAUUAUAGACUUUUUAGUGCUCCAGUGUGGUGUUUACUAUUUAACUCCAAAUUGUUGCACUCAUUUUUGUAGCCAAGGGCAUUUUUGACUUUUUAUCAGUCCACUAACAGUCAAGUAAACUGUUUACUAAUGCCACGGAGGUUCUUAUAAUUACAUGAAUACUUUUUAUGAGACUUUUAAUACACCGAACUUCAAGGGAGGUCCCGAAAAAUUACCCCUUGAAAAUUUCAAGUUUACUUGAAUUUUUUUUAUCAUUAAUGUGUACUUUUACGAUUUUAUCCUCACCAACUUAAUUUAUACGAAGUGGUAAACUAAAAGGUAUUUGAGAAUACGCGAAUACAAUCUAUCAAAGUAAAAACAUGCUAAAUCUCAGUGGAGGUUUGUGAUAAUUAACCAAUGGAAAAAACAUGUAAAUGAGAAACCCAACUUACGAAAACGCUAGAUUGGGCAGGCUUUAUUGCGAGAAAUGUACCUAAAAUAAUAUUUCUGUAUGUGUACCCAGAAAAUAUAUAAAGGAACGACCUAUAUAAUAUUUUUGUUGAAAUGGUAUACUCUAUGAUUACAGAAUGCCUGAGUUCUAAAGAAGAUUCAAGUCAUUCCUCAGGUGCAGCAUUCGAAAUAAGGCCAUUGCCCUUGUGAAAUUUGCAUUACUUCUAUUGAAAAUCUAUAUAAUGAGAGCUCUCCCGUUACAUUUUUCGUUGUUCUACUUGUGCUUCACUUCAAUGUGUCGCCACAUGAACAAGUAUAUUGCAACAUAUGUACCAUCAAUUUUGCUAUGUCAUAUUCCCUAAUAUUACAUAAUACAGAUGAUUUUGAAAUUAUAAUAACAACAAUGGAGUCAAGCACAUUUUGUGUCUUGAAGAUUUGCGAGAGCUCCAUCCUACAAAGUUAAUCUAUUAUUAUUAUUAUUGAUGAUGAUGACAUUGUUGUUAUUAUUAUUAUUAUUUGAGAGAUGGUAGAAUAAAGUUGUUCAUUUUGAAGUUUAACAGUGGAAAAUAAGAAAAACAAGAAAAAGGUUUUUUUUGUUAUUUUAGGUUUCUAAGAAUAUUUUUGCUCCGUUUGUUCUGUUUUCUUUGCUGGGAUUUGAGAUAAAAAAAAUUAUCUCAAAUAGUAUAAUAUUCAUCAAUUGGUUGGAGAGAUAAUAUAAUUAAUUCACUUAGAUCUUGAAAGAAUUACCAAGCACUCAAUUAAUAACACAUUAUUUAGGAUUAAAUUUGAGAGAAAAAAUUUGGAAUGUCUAUAUUUACUCUAAUUUAAUUGAAAAUAAGCCUAUCACUGGAUGAUCAAUUAUAGUUUGCUUAAUACUAAAAUGUCACCCGUAAGUUUGUUCUGGAUUUGUAACUGAUUUAUUUUAAUUCUUCAACUCGACAAAGGGUCAUACAUCUUGUUCUUGUACACUUAAAAAGUCACGAAGAUCAAAACCAACUAUGUCGUUACAUUUGCUUGAAAAAAAAUUUUAGGCAGUACGUUCUUGUGUUUAAGCGAUAUUUUUAAAGGGUUAUGAUAGUAGUGGAGCACUAAUGCACUUCAUAAAUAUCAGAUGGAUUGUUGAAAAAAAAAAAAUGUUUGUAUAUUUUUUUAAUAUUUUUUAUAAUGGCUAAAAGAUCAGAUAGUCGACGGAUAAUUUUUUUUCCUAUUUAUCUAGAUUGGGCAGACUCACGUUUAGCGUUGGUGUCCAGUUUCUUUAGCAUUUUAAAUUCAUAAACGAAAUUACAGUGGUUCUUCACCCAUUGGCCAUUCCACUUGUUAAUUAUAAUAGACCUUACAACAAUUUAUACGAAUUCGGGCAAUCGUUCACGCGCAACUAUUUUAAUCGAAAAUAUAAUAUGGCUCCAUAAACAAUGAUUAUCUCUUGUCAGUUGUUCUGCACCCCCUAUUUUAAUUGAAAAAGACUUGAUGAUUAUUUAAUUGGAACUUUUUUUUUUUUUUUUUUGUGGCUCUGCUUGGUUUAGUAAUUUGUCUUUUAUAUUUGACUAACUCGACAAAGAGUUGUUGACCUCGUUUUGAUACACUUACAUUGCAGAGAUUGAAACCAGAUCUGUCAUACAUUAGUUGGCCAUAAAAAUAAUCAAAUCACUUUCGCUUUUCACUUAUUUCCACGGUGAAGGAAAAUUCAAAGGUGGAAAGUGUACAGAGAGAGGAAGCGCGUGUUUAGAGAGAGAGGUCUCAAAUAUAUAAGUUGGAUUUCUCAUAAAAGGUAGUAAGGUUUCUAUAAUUCUAUUUCUAUUUAUGCUGAAUUUCAUGGGGACGAAGUUAAUUUAGAGAUUUGUUUACUUUAUUUAUAGUUAAGUUUUCCAAAAAAGGGCGUAAAGUUGCACCUAAGCUAAUUUUUAUAAUUGGUUGGUUAUUUCAGAAGCACAAGGGUACCAACAAGGAAUUGUAGAGCCGGAUACGUGUAGCCUUCAUUGUUUUCCUGAUUCGGUAUGUAUAUAGUUAUAUGUAUGUUUAGGUAGAUUAUGGUUGGUGAUGAUAUUGUUAAUAAUAUGGAUGAUUUGUUAGAUAUGAAAAUUAAGUUAUUAAGGGUGAAACAUGAAACCGAAUCCGUCACUGCAUUUGCUUGAAAAACAAUUUUACGAAUAAUAGGUCCUCGACAACUUUCAAUGUGGUUUAGUUACAUGUAUUCAAAACAUAAAUUAUUGUUAUGAUUUUAGAAAAUUUUGUUGUUUGUAAUUUAUAUUUGAAAUUUUGCAACAAUUGUUUGGCACAAAUAUUUUUAUUUAAGAAAAAGAGUGAUCUCAUUAUUGAGCUGGUUUUGAUAACACAUAUGGAAAUAAUAAAUUGAUUCAUAAUUAAGUCAAUUACCUAAUUAAAAUGUACCUCAAUAUUUUUUUCCUCAAUAUUUUUUUGGUAAUGUUGUAUCUGUUAUAGUAAUUUUUGGUAGUUAUGUUUGGAAAUAAUCACAAUGAAGAGAAUGAGUUAAACAUUUAGGAAAAUUUAUUUUUAGAAGUCCUAUUGAUAAUGUAAAUGACUAAAUUGAAUAUAAUGUUAAAUAAAAUUUAUUUAUACAUUUAUAAACAUUUAAAUAAAAUAUUUUUAUCUUGUAAGUAUAAUAAUUGAUUACUAAAAUAAAUAUUUUAUAUUAUUAAUUUUAUUUUUAGUUUGUUAUCUCAAUGUAAUUGUUGAUAAUAUCUUUAAAGUUAAUAAUUUUAUUUUCUAAUUAAUAAGGAUAAUUAAUAUAUGUAGGGAUGUAUAUGGAAUUAUAUUAAGUAUAAAACUGAUUAUCAAAAUCAGAUUUUGAAAAACUAUUUGCUUUCAAAAUUUGUUGUAGGAUUGAUGAUUUUACCAAAGGUGACUUCUAAAAUUUUUAUUAAAUACCAAAAUUAGCAUUUAACUUUUCAAAAUUACUUUUGAGCCUCUAAAAAUAAUCCCAAACGGACCUUUAAUAUAUGUUUGAUUUUUUUUUAAUUUUAUAUUAUAUGAGACAAAACAAAUGACAGAUUUUUUUGAAUAAUUUAAAAAAAAAAGAAACACAGAGCUCAAGAUAAUGCUGUAAUUGUUGAAUAAGAAGGCUGCAACUUGAUGAUAAAUUUAUUAUACUAGUUUUAAGGUUUUAUCUUGUGUGUAAAAGUUGCUGGUUCUUGUUUUAGAAAUUUCUCUUUCUAUACAAAGAGUCGGUGUACCUCGUACUGAUACACUUAAAUUACAAACAUGGAAACCAGAUCUGGCAUCAUAAAUUAAUCAAUCACCUUCUCAUUAAUCUACCAUUACUCUUUUCGUUUCCUUAUUUUUAUCUAACCAUUUAGGAUAGGAUUUGAAUUCAGUACUUAAUUAUUCUUUUUAAUAAUUUUAAAAAAUUAUAAUUAAUAGUUAUUGAAUAAAAAUAUAAAAUUAAUUAUAUUAUUUGUCAUACGCGUGUGACAAAAGGUUAAGAAAAAUUUAUUUACGUUUGCUCAAUCCACUCUCUUAUUAGCUCCCCCACUCUCUUAAUCAUUUCUUCUCAUUCGAAAAACACUUUGCUUCUGUUUGUUUGUUAUUUAUUUUUAGCUCCAUAACUGCUCGUCGUAACGCUGUCUCUCUGUUUUGACUGUCCUUUAGCCUUCUUCACUUCUACAUUGUUGUCAGGAUUCAAGAUGCUGGAAAUCAUUGUUACUCUCGUUUUGGAACCUUGUAAAAUGCUUGGCUCCUCCAACUGAACGCCAACUUGUUUAUUUGCGAUGGCGGAACUACAAUGCCAACCUUGAGAAUCUCAAGGCGGAAAUGGAGAAGUUGAAGGUUGAACGUACGAGCAUUCAGCGCAGAGUUUCAGAGGCGAAAGAAAAAGGGGAAGAGAUUGAAGAGAAGGUUGAGAAGUGGCUGGUUAGUGCUAACGGCAUCAUUGACCAGGCAGCCAAAUUCGUUGAAGAUGAAGAGUCAACAAAUAAGCGCUGUCUCAAGGGCUUGUGUCCUAAUUUGAAGACCCGCUAUCAGCUUAGCAAGAAAGCAGAGACGGAGGUGAAGGCCAUUAUUGAGCUUGGAAAACAAAAUUAGAGAAAUUUCCACGUUCAAAGACAUUUUAAUAUGUUAUAACUAAACUAAUCAGAAAAACGAGUUUAAAGAAAAAAAAAAAAGGAGAGGGAGGGGACGGCAUCGUUUAAUUAAAAAGAGCUAAAAUUUUACUCUGUCCAUGUUGCAAAGCAAGAAAGCCGAAAAGCACAAAACAACAAUAAGCCAACGUUUGGGGAACUCCUCCCACCAGGGAACCAAGCUCUCCGAAUCCACGCCCAAAUCCUCACUCCCCAACGCGACGUCUUUCAACGCCUCCUCAAACUUCACAGAUUUCUCCGACACAUUGUACGACUCGGACUUCACAUCCCGAACGGAUACUCGGAACGAGCAACCCCUGUCUCCGGACAGAACCCCAAGUCGAACAAAGGUUACGAGGCCUUCGAAUCAAGAGUUUCUACUUUGAAGUCUAUACAAAAUGCGUUGACUGAUGUGAAUGUCAGCAUUAUUGGGGUGUACGGCAUGGGCGGCAUUGGAAAGACGACACUGGUGAAGGAGUUUGCUAGGCAAGCCAGGGAAGACAAGCUGUUUGAUCGGGUGGUUUUUUCAGAGGUUUCACAAACUCCAGACAUAAAAAAGAUUCAAGGGGAAAUUGCAGAGAAGUUAGGUCUGGAGUUGUCCGAUGAAGCUGAAUAUAGAAGAGCUAGCAGGCUGUAUGAACGACUGAAGAAUGAGAAUAAGAUUCUUGUGAUUCUAGACAAUAUCUGGAAACAUGUUGAUUUGGAGACGGUUGGAAUUCCCUUCGGAAAUGAUCAUAAAGGAUGUAGACUACUGCUGACAGCAAGAGACAAUAAUGUACUAUUAAGUAUGGGCUCCAAAGAUAACUUCUUGAUUGGCAAUCUAAAUGAAGAAGAAGCUUGGGGAUUGUUUAAGAUAAUGAAUAGUGAUGAUGUUGAAAAUUGUAAGUUCAAGUCUACAGCAAUUAAUGUAGCCCAGGCAUGUGGAGGUUUGCUCAUUGCCCUAACUAGAGUAGCGAGGGCACUGAGAAACAAGAGUCUGCAUGAGUGGAAGAAUGCCUUGCGAGAACUCCAAACGCCUUCAGUGGUAAACUUCGAAGGUGUGCCUGCAGAGACUUAUUCAAGUAUUGAACUGAGUUUCAAGUAUUUAAAAGGUGAGCAACUCAAGAAAAUUUUUCUGCUCUGUAGUCUAAUAGGUAACAGUUUUUGGAUUACAGACUUGUUUAAAUACUCCAUGGAUUUGGGCAUAUUUCAAGGAGUCAACAGGAUGGUAGAUGCACGAAACAAAUUAUAUGCAUUGGUCCAUGAACUUAGAGACUCUUGUUUAUUGCUUGAGGGUGAUAGCAGUGAACAAUUUUCCAUGCAUGAUGUCGUCUGCGAUGUCGCCGUAUCAAUUGCAUGUCGAGACCAACAUGUUUUCUUGGUGAGAAAUGAGGCUAUGUGGGAGUGGCCAGAUGAGGAUGCACUUAAAAAAUGCCCUGCAAUCUCUUUACUAAAUAGUAGCAUUCAUGAAGUUUCCGAGGAAUUCGAAUGUCCGCAACUUGAAUUUUUACAUAUUGAUCCCAAAAUCACUUUUGCCGAGGUCAAUAUUCCUGACAACUAUUUCAAAGGGAUGAAAAAGCUUCGAGUCGUAGAUUUGACAAGAGUGCGAUUAUUUUCAUUGCCAUCUUCAAUCGGUCUUCUAGCAAAUCUUCAAACACUGUGUCUUGAUCAAAGCAUGUUGGGAGACAUAGCCAUAGUUGGAAAGUUGAAGAAUCUAGAAAUCCUUAGCUUUUUAAAGUCUGAUAUUGUACGGUUGCCUGGCGAACUAGGUCAACUGACUAAGUUAAGGAUGCUAGAUUUAACAGAUUGCUUGCAACUAAAAUUUAUUGUGCCCAAUAUCUUAUCAAGCUUCACUCGAUUGGAAGAACUGUAUAUGGGUAAUUCCCCUAUUGAAUGGGAAAUUGAAAAGGCCAAUAGUGAAAGAAGUAAUGCCACCCUCGACGAAUUGAUGCAUUUGAGACGACUGACCACCUUAGAAAUAGAUGUUAAAAAUGAUAGCAUUUUACCGGAUGGCUUUUUUUCCAAAAAGCUGGAAAGGUUUGAUAUAUCAAUAGGAGAUGGAUCUUUUGACUCUACCAAUGUUAUGGGAAGGACUGGUUUCAAAGUCGGCCGCACUUUAUGAUCAGUAAUCAUGAGAGUUUAAGAACAUUGAAGCUCAAGCUUGAUUCUAUGGCCAUUUGCUCCAAGAAGUUGCAGGGCAUCAAUAACGUUGAAUACUUAUGUUUGGAUAAGUUGCAAGGAAUAAAGAAUGUUGUUUUAGAAUUGGAACUGAGGGCUUUUCACAACUGAAGCAUCUCCAUGUUCAAAAUAAUCCAGACUUCCUGUGUAUCGCCGAUUCAAUGGAGAGAGAACCUUGUAUCGCCUUUCCUCUUUUGGAGUCCCUUACUCUUCACAAUUUGACCAAUAUGGAGAGGAUAUGUAUUGAUCGACUCAAAAAAGAGUCCUUCAAUGAACUCAAAACCAUAAAAGUGGAAAAUUGUGAUGAGUUGAGUAAUAUCUUCUGGCUCUCUAGUAGUACAAAAUGCCUUCCAAGACUUGAGAGGAUUGCAGUUAUCAAUUGCAGCAGCAUGGAAGAAAUUUUUGCAACCGGAGGAGAAGCUGAUGUUGAUGUUGAUGAAAAGAUAGAGUUUGGUCAAUUAAGAUCUUUGAUUCUGGGAAAGCUUCCAAAGGUUACAAGGUUUUGCCGUGAAGUGAAGACUCCUUCCACAUCACCAAACAGACAAGAGUCACAAGAGGUAUUGACAGCUAGUUCCAACGAGAUCAGUUCGGAUACUUCAACUCUGCUUUUUAACGAGAAGGUGCGUAGGCUAAUGCAUUCUUUUUUUUUUUUUUUUUCCUUUAUUCUAUCAUGCACUCGCAUUUGAUGCCAUUUGUGCAAAAAAAUUAAAUCAUUUAGAAAAAGAAAAUAAAAAAAAACUCAUGCAAUCACAAAUUAAGCUCUCAAUAAGUGCUUCUCAUGUGGCUAUUGUGACCCCGUUUGGGAUUAAGGUUAAAACUCAAUAAACUGUCUAUUUCAUAAGGGAUAUUAUGAUUUUCCCACCAAAGGUAUUCUGACACAUCAUGUCAGUACCAUGGUUUGGUAAAACUAUCAAUUUACCACCAAACGUUUAAACUGUUAGCAUUUUCCCACCAUUCUGUUAAAACUCAGUUAAUAUGUAACAAAAAAUUCAUAAAAAGUCAAUUUUACCCCUGGAGCGUAAAAAUUAAAUCAUUUAGAAAAAGAAAAUGCAAAAAAAAAAAAAAUAAAAUCUCAUACACUCAAUAAUUGAGCUCUCAACAAGCACUUCUUAUAUGGAUAUUGGAUCUAUCGACAAAAUUAUCUUUAGGUAGUGUUGCCAAAUUUGGAGGCUUUGGAGCUGAAUGCUAUUAAUGUCGACGAGAUUUGGCAUUACAAUCAACUUCCGGCCAUGGUUCCUUGCUUUCAAAGUUUGACACGAUUGAUAGUGUGGGGCUGUGACAAAUUAAAAUACAUAUUUUCAGCUUCUACGAUCCAAAGCCUUGAGCAACUCCAACACCUGGAGAUACGGUUAUGUAAGAGUUUACAAGAAAUCAUUUCUGAAAACAGAACAGAUCAAGUGGCCGCUUAUUUUGUCUUUCCACGGGUGACCACACUGAAACUCGAAGGUCUACCAGAACUUAGAUGUUUAUACCCUGGAAUGCAUACUUCAGAAUGGCCAGGACUAAAAAUAUUGGAGGCGUGUAAUUGUGAUAAAAUAACGUUAUCUCGUUCAAGAAGGUAUGAAACCAACUUUUAGAGUUGUCUUUGUUGUUUCUUACUCACAGACCAGAAAUUUUAAUAGGUAUUAGUUAGAUCAUUGAAAACUUUGAUUACACAAUGAAUUUUGCCAGUCUGGAAUUAGGGGUCAAUAUACUUUCAAUAUAAUUAGUACAUACACAAUUAAUCAAUUAAAUAAAUCUGUUUCAGCUAGUAUAGGAACUUAAUUAAUCAAAGCUAGUAGUUAUAGCUAGGACUUGAACGAGGCACCUUUCAAAGUUCAAGAAGAGCAUCUGAACAGAAUGAAAGCACUUUGUAGAAAUGAUAAUGAUGCUUUACAUCUACAUGCUCUUACACAAUAUGAACUUUCAUUUACGCCAUUGUAAAAACUUUUGUAUUAUAAUUUCUGAAAAUAGAACGUAACAUUAUUAAUAUAGAAUCAGCAAUCUAUAUAACUUAUCAGACAAUAUAACAAGCACUUGGUGAGCAUACAAGAUAAACUAAAACAAGUUAUCUAGAUAAUGAAACUAAAACCCAAGCUCCGCUAUUCAUUGUAGAUGCUUUAAACAUAAAAUUAAACUAAAUCUAAUAGCAAAACAUUAGAAUGGAUGUUGGAAUUAAAGCUAAAUUCAAUAGUAAUCCAAAUGAAUCCAUUUGAACUUUGUAAACUCCGCAGAACAAAAUUAAUUUGAGUGAGCAAACUCACCAAUGGAACAAGAACACAGGGGCUUCAACUUGUAGGAAUAAAAAAAAAUUGCUGGCGGGACAAAAAUUGACAAUAACAGCUACAAUACGAAUUUUAAAAAAAAAUCAAAAUCUAUAAUUACAAGCUAAGUAAGAGAAGAAACUCAUAAUCACAAGCUUAACUCAAAAGAUGAAGGGAGAAUACGAUGAAGAAGAAGAUG
rnacentral:lncRNA from 1 species